AGUCGAACGGCAGCACGGACUUGGUCUGGUGGCGAGUGGUGAACGGGUGAGUAAUGUAUCGGAACGUGCCUAGUAGUGGGGGAUAACUACGCGAAAGCGUAGCUAAUACCGCAUACGCCCUUCGGGGGAAAGUGGGGGACCUUCGGCCCUGCACCAUUAGAGCGGCCGAUAUCGGAUUAGCUUAGUUGGUGGGGUAACGGCUCACCAAGGCGACGAUCCGUAGCUGGUUUGAGAGGACGACCAGCCACACUGGGACUGAGACACGGCCUGUGACCACGGAGGCAGCAGUGGGGAAUUUUGGACAAUGGGGAAACCCUGAUCCAGCCAUCCCGCGUGCGAUGAAGGCCUUCGGGUUGUAAAGCACUUUUUGGCAGGAAAGAAACGGCACGGGAUAAUACCCCGUGCAACUGAUUGUACCUGCAGAAUAAGCACCUGGCUAACUACGUGCCAGCAGCCGCGGUAAUACGUAGGGUGCAAGUUGUGUUAAUCGGAAUUACUGGGCGUAAAGCGUGUGCAGGCGGUUCGGAAAGAAAGAUGUGAAAUCCCAGAGCUUAACUUUGGAACUGCAUUUUUAACUACCGAGCUAGAGUGUGUCAGAGGGAGGUGGAAUUCGCGUGUAGCAGUGAAAUGCGUAGAUAUGCGGAGGAACACCGAUGGCGAAGGCAGCCUCCUGGGAUAACACUGACGCUCAUGCACGAAAGCGUGGGGAGCAAACAGGAUUAGAUACCCUGGUAGUCCACGCCUCUAAACGAUGUCAACUAGCUGUUGGGGCCUUCGGGCUCUGGUAGCGCAGCUACGCGUGAAGUUGACCGCCUGGGGAGUACGGUCGCAAGAUUAAAACCUGAAGGAAUUGACGGGGACCCGCACAAGCGUGGAUGAUGCGGAUUAAUUCGAUGCAACGCGAAAACUCCCACCACCCUUGACAUGUCUGGAAUCCCGAAGAGAUUUGGGAGUGCUCGCAAGAGAACCGGAACACAGGUGCUGCAUGGCUGUCGUCAGCUCGUGUCGUGAGAUGUUGGGGUUAAGUCCCAACGAGCGCAACCCUUGUCAUUAAUAGCGACAUGAAAGGUACCCCACGACUGCCGGUGACAAACCGGAGGAAGGUGGGGAUGACGUCAAGUCCUCAUGGCCCUUAUGGGUAGGGCUUCACACGUCAUACAAUGGUCGGGACAGAGGGUCGCCAACCCGCGAGGGGGAGCCAAUCCCAGAAAACCCGAUCGUAGUCCGGAUCGCAGUCUGCAACCUGGACUGCGUGAAGUCGGAAUCGCUAGUAAUCGCGGAUCAGCAUGUCGCGGUGAAUACGUUCCCGGGUCUUGUACACACCGCCCGUCACACCAUGGGAGUGGGUUUUACCAGAAGUAGUUAGCCUAACCGUAAGGAGGGCGAUUACCACGGUAGGAUUCAUGACUGGGGUGAAGUCAACAAGGUAGCCUCA
rnacentral:rRNA from 1 species